UUGCUGCUUCUUGAAUUGAUUUUUCAACAUUUAAAUCAUCAAAAUUUGAUAAAUUAAUUGUUGGGAUUGAUUCUUGAUUGUCAAUUUGAGACUUGUUUAGUCUUUGUUCUUUUGGUUGAAUGCAUUGAUUUGGGAUAAUUUCAAGGUUUGUGUCUACUAGGCCUUUUAGUCCAUUUGCUUUCUUGAUUACAAAAUCAAGUAUGUCAUCAUUUGGUUCAAAUUUUGAAGAAGACAUUUGUGUUGAAUCUUGAUGAGUGUGUACUAGUGGAAGAAGGAAAUUUGAGGUUUUUUUAAUGGUGGAUUUGAGGGGGUGUGUUGGGGGGGCGGGGGAGAAGGGGGGUUUGCUAUGGAAUGAUUUAAGAUUGAAUCAUUACUUCAUCUAGCAACGAGGGGGUUGUGAUGGAGUGCUAAAUAUUUUUUCAUUUUUAAUCAAAUAUUUUGGAUUCAAUUUUUUCUGAAUAUAGAGUGUUUUACCUCUCAGUAUGAGACUUUUCAAUGUAAAUUCAAAUUUAUUUGGAUUCAGUUUAUCAUAAAAUUUAUUUUCAUAGCUAUUUGAAAAUCGAUGAGGUGGCUUUUUGGUAUCAUAUAAAUGAAUUGUGGUUGGUUUGAAUAACAUUCACAUCCUUUUGAAAUUCGUGCUCUCUAUUAUAUCCAUAAAAAAAUAUCAGUAAAAAUAGUAAUAUUAUAAUUUAAUACUUUAUUUUGCUUUUAAUAUUAUAAUUUUAUAGCUAUAAAUUAUUAUGACAAUUCAGAAGAUUUGCUUGGGAUAUAUACCGAAUGUGUAUUAUUAUUUUUUGGAAUAAGUUUUUGAAAGUCUUAUAAAAGCAGUACCACUUAAAUCUGUUAGAAGGAAAAAUUUCAUAUGCUUGAGUACAUUUCCUUAUACAUUACUAAAUCUUCUUCAUGCUUGUGUUCUUCGUUUGCUAGAAAAUGGGUCCAUUAAUUUGCCUCUCUCCAGACGUAUUAGAUAGUGUCAAAUGUGAAAAAGUUAAAUUUCACCAAAUGCUCAAAAUUCAAGAAAUGUGAAAUUAUACACUAAUUUAUAAUGAGUAAAAGGCCAAAAACUGCAUUUUAAAAUAUAUCAACACUGUUUAUUAACGAGUUGAGCUAGUAAAUAAAUGGAUCAAUGAUCAGGUUAAACUUGGAUGGAUUUGAUGGAUCAUAUUUUCAUGACUAAGUUUUUGUUGUUAGGGUGAACUUUAGUAGAAUUUACGUAGUAUUUGAUAGUCAAAACUCGACAUUUGAUACUAGUUUUCGUAUUGAGAGACUACCUAUCACAAUCUUUGAUGAUUGGGGGGUUUCGUCACCCUAUAUUGAUACCAGUCUUAGGAGUGAAAGUAAAUUCAUUCCAAACUCGAAAUCUAUAGUUGAUGAUGGAGAUAGUUACUACCGGUCACAAUCUUAGAAAAUGAUAAGCGGCAUUUAAGUAGGUGUCCCCCCCCCCCCCCUCCUCAUUUUGUAUUCAGUAUCCUCUUCAAAACUGAAUGUAAAUUUAUUUCUAAAUUCGAGAUCUCUAAUUGAAGGCGGAUUUAGCAAGGGCCCCCCCCCCCCCCCUCCUCAUUUUGUAUUCAGUAUCCUCUUCAAAACUGAAUGUAAAUUUAUUUCUAAAUUCGAGAUCUCUAAUUGAAGGCGGAGAUAAUUACUACCCAUCACGAGUACAUGUUUUUUCUUAUUGUAUAUUCGGUAUCCACUUUUAAGAAAAUACAUUUUUUAAAUUAUAGAGUUCAAAUUUAAAAUUGUCAUAGUGUUACACACCAACAAUUCAAUGAAUGAACUUACAUUAUUCAGUGCGGACUCAAAAUUUUAUAUAAGUGAGUUCAACCAUAGGAUGAUCGUCGAUAGUGUAAGCAACAUCAAGCACAACAAAUGAUUUGCUCUUUGUGCUUUUAUUUAUUCUUUUUUUAAUAAUUUAAUAUCAAAAUAAGAUAUAUAGUUUUUUUUAGAAAAACUCGGCACUUUUUAAUUAUUUAACAAAGUUGAGGAAUUUAUUUUAAAAAAAAUCUAUUUACAUUUAAAAAAACAAAAAACAAAAAACAAAAUUAGAGUUAACUAAGAAACUAUAUAUAAUCUCAUCAAAAUAACAAAUUAUAGCAAAAAACUAAGAAAGACACUACAAAAAUUCAAUUAUAAAUGAUUAAAUGUUUUUAGAAGUAAAACAGAUUUAAGAUUUUUAUCGAGUUUGAGUAAGAAGACAAAAUAUACAACAUAAAAUUUAAAAAUAAAAUAAAAUAUAUUGGUGAUAAAUUUAUUAGUGACUAGCAUAUUGAAUAUGAUUGGUCAAUUUUUUUUAUAGGCCAAUUUGGCUACUGAAUAUGAAUACACAGUGAUAUUGAACCAAAAGCAGUAACAUGCCACACUUUGUUCAUUGUGGGUUUAAAUAUAUAAUUAUACUAAUUUAACAUUAAUUCUCCUUAUAUAAAUAAUAAAUUUUCCAACCGAGUGGGUUCAACAUGUGGGUCCACCCCUGACAUUAUUACAUUGAAAAAAAAAUAUGGGGGAAAGUUAUUAUAAACAAAAAGUAGGAUGAAGGGCAAAAUAAGAUUAUGAAAUCAUUAGAACAAAAUAAGAUAACAAUACAAUCACACAAACUCACCGGUUACAUAAAGAAAUACUUUUUGACAUUGCAUAACAAAGAAAUUUGUGAAUUAAAACAUCAAAUUUUAGCAAAAUCUAGUGAUGCUUUACCAGAGGGCCUCUUACUGAAGUAAUGAUCCCAAUAAUCAGAGAACAAAACAUGUUUGUACAUUGAUUUUUCUCCAUCUUUGAGUAUUUGUGGGAAUGGACCAAUGACACUAUCAGGGCUAGGAUUCACAAAUAGCGGUACAGAUAUUCGAGCCCUGCUAGAAUCAACUGCUACACAAUGCUCGAUACUUUUGUAUCGAUCGUUGCUCAUGAUCUGCAACGAGUUACCUAUGUUAACCGCCAAGGCACCUUUGAUAGGAUUUACGUGAAUCCAGUUAUCACCUUUAGUCCCUUGGACAUAUAGGCCUCCCGUGUCGUCCUGGAGGAGCAGAGUUAUGCAGGACAUGUCGCAGUGUCUACGAAAACCAAUGGCGAUACUUGGAUUUGGACAAGGUGGAUAGUAGUUUAUAUUGAUAGCCAUAGUUCCCAUCAAGAGAGGUUCUAAAGAUUCAUCAAUUUCAUUGACAUUGAGACCCUUCAAUAGCACCUCAAGCAAUUUUUUAGCAAGUGGUGUAGCCCACUUUUGAUACUCCAAGACUUGAUUCCUGUAAAACAGUAUCAAAGUCAGAAAUUUCACUAAGAGUGUUCAAAAUUUAAUGGUAAGAUCAAGAAUUUUGCUAAUAAUGUUCAAGAUUCAAUGUCAAAGUCAUAAAUUUUUCUAAGAAUGUUUCAAGAGUCUAUAAAAACAACCUCUUUAUGUAGUAAAGAUAGAGGUAAAGUCUACGUAUAUCCUACCCUCUCCAUACUCUACUUGUGAGAUUAUAGUGGAUAUGUAAUUGUAAAAAAGAUAUAUGUACACCGUUAUAAAAAAAGUCUUGAGAUAAUGAUAAAAAACACAUCUGAAGUAUCACGUUUUCACGAGUUUUCUUUCCUAUAUGGACUAUCAUCAAAAUUACUUUGCCAUUUGGACAAAAUUCUAUGGGCAAAUUAAGUUGUGACGCACUGUAUUCAAACACUUGAUCUAGUCAGUUUUGGAAUGUGUUUUGAUAAAUAGUUGGUGAUAGUUCAGAAACACAAACACCUUAUAGUAAAAGAUAUGAAACUCGCAAAAGUAAUACUUGGAAACUUGUGACCUAUAAAUUACAUGGAGCAGAAAACCCCAAAAAGUUACCUUGUUUGAGGAGGCCAAAGAUUGCUAUCAUUUUGUGGAUUACAACUAUGUCUUAUACCAUCCCUCCACUCUAAAACUUUUUCAUCUUUCUCACCAAUAGCACUCCAAAACAUCAACACAGAUUCACUAGCAUUAUAGCUCUCUUUGUUAUACUUAACUUUUUCUUCAGAUGGCAAUUCAAAGAAUUUGUGUCCUGCUUCCUUUAAAUCAUCAAGAACUUCAAUUGGGAUGCCAUGAUUGAUGAUUUGGAAGAAACCCCACUUGCUUGCGGCAUCUUGAAUUGAUUUUUCAACACUUAAAUCAUCAAAAUUUGAUAUAUCAAUUGUUGGGAUUGAUUCUUGAUUGUCAAUUUGAGAUUUUUCUAGUCUUUGGUCUUUUGGUUGAAUACAUUGAUUUGGGAUAUUUUCAAGGCCUGUGUCUACUAGACCUUUUAGUCCAUUUGCUUUCUUGAUUACAAAAUUAAGUAUGUCAUCAUUUGGUUCAAAUUUUGAUGAAGGCAUUUGUGUUGAAUCUUGAUGAGUGUGUACUAAUGAAAGAAAGAAAUUUGGGGUUUUUUUUAGCUGUGGGUUUGAGAGGGGUGUGUAUGGGGGGAGAGGAAAGAAGGGGAGUGGACUAUGAAAUGAUGAAAGAUUGAAUCAUUACUUUAACAUCGAUGGGUUAUUAUAAAGUGGUAAAUACUUUUUCGUCUUUAAUCAGAUGUUUUAGAUUCAAAUUUCCUGAAUACAAAAUUGACUUAUUUAAAAAACAUCCUCUUAAUAUGAGACUUUUUGGUGCGAAUUCAAAUUUCAUUGGACUCAAUAUGAAUAUCAAACCUCCGAUGAUAAAAAAAUAAAUAUUAUUCCUUCUUCUAUUAUUUCAAGGGAGGGUGGGGCAAAAGGGGGCUGGCUAUGAAAUGAUGGAAGAUUGAAUCAUACUUUCAUCUAGCAACGAGAGAUUAUAGUGAAGUGGUAAAUAUUUUUCAUUUUUAAUCAAAUGUCUUGUAUUCGAAUUUUUCCAAAUACAAUAUUGUUCUUAUUAGAGAUUGUUUUACUUUUCAAUAUAAGACUUUUCGGUGCAAAUUCAAUUUUAGUUAGACUCAAUAUGAAUAUCAAAUAUCGAAUGAUUAAUCUAUUAUUUGAAGGUAGUAGGGAUGGGAUAUGUGGAUGAUAUAUUAAUGACCUAAACAAAAUUCUUGAAUUGGUUUUUUAUUUAGUAUUUUGAAUUUUUAUUUUUUAUUUAAUCAAACAUCAUUAUCAUAAAAUAGCUAUUUGGAAAUUGGUGAGGUGGCUUCUUGAUGUCCAUGGGUGAAUUGUGGUUCGUAGAUAACAUCCAAAACUUUUUUUGUCGGUUGUUAUGAAUGAUGAAUUUUGUAUAUUAUAUCCAUAAAAAUUAUCAGUAAAAAUAGAUAUAAUUUAAUUUUCUUAUUUACUUUUCAUAGUAUAACUUUUAUAGCUAUAAAUUUGAUGGAGACAUAUAUUAAAUGUGAAUUAUAUUUUUUACUAAGUAGGAAAAAGCUUUAAACAGUCUUUUAAAAGCACUACCACUUAAAAAAUUCAAAUGUUUAGUGUCCUUCAUUUGCUAGAAAAUGCACCUAUUUGCCUCUCUCUAAAUAAAUGUGUUUGAUAAUGUCAAAAGUUAAAAUGUACAAAAAAAAAUCAACUAUGCCAAAUGCUCAAAAUUCAAGAAAUAUGGAAUUAUACACUAAUUUAUACAAGUUAAAUUGUAAAGAACAAAAUAAUAAGGGGAAUUACAUUCUGCAACAUAUCAGCCUAGUCUUUUAAUGAGUUGAAAUGAGUAAAUAGACGAACCAAUGACUAGGCCAAACUUGGACGGAUUUGACGAAUCGUAUUACUAGAACCAAUGACUAGGCCAAACUUGGACGGAUUUGACGAAUCAUAUUUUCAUGAAUGUAACAUACAAGUUAGGACACAAAUGCAGGCCAUACACAAGUAAUUGAUCACCGAGGACUAUGAAUUUGUAACAUCAUCCGACUAUCCAAGCUCUGUUGUCCUGAGAAUUCUCCGUUAGACAUGAAGUUCGUGUUCAUAUUGAUCGCGUAAAGGUCCAAUGUUUGUUCUGUAAUUAAUCCAAGACUCUCCUCAUCUUGACAUUGUUGAGUUUUAGACCAUGGAUGUUUUGUGAACUUCCUUAGUCCUUCUAGCUCCAUGGCUACUUCUUUCAUCGUAGGCCUUUCUUCACUCGUUAACCUUAAACAUCUCUUCGCGAGCUCAGCAACACCUUGACAUUGCUCAAAACUUCCUUCUCGUAGCACACGUGAUUCAAGUACUUGAAACAAUCGAUUUUCCUUAAUAGACCUAACGAAAAAUGCAGCUAGAUUUCUCUCUUGUUCGGAUGCUGUAGUAUCUAGUGGCAUUCGCGCUGUUAAGAGCUCUGCAAGAACCACGCCAAAACUAUAAACGUCACUCUUUUCUGUCAAUUGACUUGUGUGGAAGUAUUCAGGAUCUAAGUAACCUAAAGUUCCUUGAACCAAUGUAGUCACUUGAGUUUGAUCCAAUGACACUAAUCUAGAAGCCCCGAAAUCUGAUAUUUUUGCAGUGUAACUCUCAUCGAGUAGAAUGUUUGUAGACUUCACAUCUCAAUGAAUUACAGGUGUAGAAGCUGCAGAAUGUAGAUAUGCGAGUGCACCAGCAGCUUCAGAUGCUAUUCUUAAUCGAUUUUCCCAUGAAAACCAACGCAUUUGAUCUCCACCAUCAUGAAUAUGGUAAUAGAGUGUACCUUUGGAAAUGUAUUCAUAGACUAGUAGAGGUACUUCAGACUCCAAACAACACCCCAAGAGUUUCACCACGUUUCGAUGAUUGACUUCUGAAAGAAUGAUCACUUCAUUGAUGAACAAUUCUAUUUGGAUGACGUCCAUUGUUCUAGACUUUUUAAUUGCAACUACACGUUUGUCCGGAAGGACACCUUUGUAAACUGUACCAUAACCACCUCGGCCUAGGAUACGAUCCUCAGCAUAGUUGUUGGUUGAUUUCUCGAGUUCUGCUGCUGUAAAGAUCUUAGCUGCAUACUGUAUACCACCCUCAUUUGAUCGGAGUUUCUGCGUGAGCAUCAAUCCACCAUUUUUCUGAAAAAACGUUUCCCUGAGUCUUAUGAGUCGUCAUCUUUUGAUGCCUAAGUAUAUCCAAGUUACACUGAUGACCAAAGCCAGAAAACCAAAGCACAAACCUGCAAUGAAAGUGCAACUUUAGUUUACUCUUAACCGUUUUCACUUUAUAUGAAGGUGUUUGACUGGACACACAGAGUAGAGUAGACGUACUGAUUGAGAGUUGAAGGAUGGGUGAUUUAGAGUUCUUAGGGAUGCAACCGUGGCCGUCCUUUUUUCCAUCACCAAUCUGACCAUGUGGACAAGUGCAGCUGUAGCCUCCAGGAAAGUUAUUGCAUAUUCCAUCACAAGGAUUCUCGUUCUCGCAUUCAUUUAUAUCUGUCAAUUAAUCAAACAUCAGAACGUAAAGAGGUUGUUUCUGAUAGACCCUCGGCUCAAAUGCAACACUAACCAACACAUAUAACAUCAUUCGAACAAAGUAACUUUGGCUCAAACCUUACUAAACAAGCACAAAUCGUAGAUUCCUAACCAAGUUACGACAAUUUCAAACUCGAACACAAAAAGUUCAAAUCAUGAAUUCAGUCUUACCUAUGCAACCUGGACUGAUAUAAGGGUUCCCCUGGUAUCCCGGUUUGCAGUUGCAACGAUAACCUCCGAGGCCUGUCUUAGAAUCUACACAAACACUAUUUUCUCCACAAGCAUAAUCUGCUGAUUUCUUAGCCACAGUGCAACUACCAUUGCCAAUAACCCAAUCAAUCACCACAGGGACUUCCUCUAUAACCUUGUUCCUGAAACUCGAAUUUGAUAAAUCCGAGCUCUUGAAAAUGAACUUAUCAGGCUCACCAAGAAACAAGUAGCCACAAGGGUUAAAAGAAGACACAUUUGUAUGGUUAUUCAAACUCCUUGUUAGACUCACAAAACUCUUCAAACCUGUUGGGAUUGAAGUCUGGCAACAUCCAAUUCCUGAGCAAUAUCCUUCAAUUAUAUCCUCUUUUUUCGCGCAUAGUGAAAUGCAUCCACUAGUAAAGUUCCUCCCUUCAUAGCCGAGAAUGAGAGCUAAGUCAUCGCAGCCAACUACCAUCAAACUAUUGAGAUCAGAGAAGGAGAAAGACGUCAAUCCCAAGCUAAAGUUUAUCGAGUCAUCAUUGAUCAAGACCCCUGCUUGAUCAUAACACCUACUCCCAACAUUGUUCUUAAAAUAAGAAAGGGCAAGAUAAAGAAAAAAUAAAUAAAUAACGGACAGGAUCACACCAAAUUGCAAGUUACAUAAAAUAACAGUUAUCGUCAUUACAAUAACAGAUUUAUAAUACAAAAACAUUAACAUACAAGAAAUUUGAAAAUUAAAGCAUCAAUUUUUUGCAAAAUCUAGUGAUGCUUUACCAGAAGGCCUCUUAAUAAAGCAAUGAUCCCAAUAAUUAGAGAACAAAAUAUGUUUGUACACUGGUUUUUCUCCAUCUUUUAGCAUUUGUGGGAAUGAACCAAUGACACUAUCAAAACUAGGAUUCACGCAUAGCGGUACAGAUAUUCGAGUCCUGCUCGAAUCAACUGCUACACAAUGCUCGAUACUCUUGUAUCGAUCAUUGCUCAUGAUCUGCAAUGAGUCACCUAUAUUAACCGCUAAGGCACCUUUGAUAGGAUUUACGUGAAUCCAGUUGCCUUUAGUCCCUCGGACAUAUAGGCCUCCUGUGUCGUCCUGGAGGAGCAAAGUUAUGCAGCCCAUGUCGCAGUGUCUACGAAAACCCAUGGCGAUACUUGGAUUUGGGCAUGGUGGAUAGUAGUUGAUGUUUAUAGACAUAGUUCCCAUCAAGAGAAGUUCUAAAGAUUCGUCAAUUUCAUUGACAUUGAGACCCUUCAAUAGCACCUCAAGCAAUUUUUUAGCAAGUGGUUUAACCCACUUUUGAUACUCCAAAACUUGGUUCCUAUAAAUCAAUAACAAACUCAGGAAUUUUAUUAAGAGCAUUAGUGUUUAAUGGGAAGGUCAAAUUUUUCUCUAAUAACGUUCAAGAUUCAAUGUCAAAGUUAAGAAUUUCACUAAGAAUAUUUCGUAAGUCUAUAAAAUCACAACCUCCUUAUGCUGCUAAGACAGAGGUAAAAUAUGCGUAUAUUCUACCCUCUCCAUACUCUACUUGUGAGAUUAUACUAGAUAUGUAAUCGUAUAAAAGAUAACUUUUCUCCUACAUAUACGAUAUACUUUUGAUUUAAGUUAUAAAAACCAUUAUAAAAUCUUGAUAUAAUUUUGUAUUCAACCACUUAAUCUAGUUAGUUUUUAAAUAUCUUUUGAUAAAUAGUUGGUGAUAGUUCAGAAACGUCAAGCACCUCCCAAAAAGUAAUACUACUUGAAAACCCGUGACCUAUUGAUUACACAGAGUAGAAAACCCCAAAAAGUUACCUUGUUUGAGGAGGCCAAAGAUUGCUAUCAUUUUUGUGGAUUACAACCAUGUUUUAUACUAUCCCUCCACUCCAAAACUUUCUCAUCUUUCUCACCAAUAGCACUCCAAAACAUAAACACAGAUUCACCAGGACUAACUUUUUCUUUAUGAUACUUAACUUUUUCUUCAGCUGGCAAUUCAAAGAAUUUGUGUGCCGCAUCCUUCAAAUCUUCAAGAACUUCAAUUGGGAUGCCAUGAUUGAUGAUUUGGAAGAAACCCCACUUGCUUGCUGCUUCUUGAAUUGACUUUUCAACAUUUAAAUCAUCAAAAUUUGAUAAAUCAAUUGUUGGGAUUGAUUCUUGAUUAUCAAUUUGGGACUUGUCUAGUCUUUGUUCUUUUGGUUGAAUGCAUUGAUUUGGGAUAAUUUCAAGGUUUGUGUCUACUAGGCCUUUUAGUCCAUUUGCUUUCUUGAUUACAAAAUCAAGUAUGUCAUCAUUUGGUUCAAAUUUUGAAGAAGACAUUUGUAUUGAAUCUUGAUGAGUGUGUACUACUGGGAG
rnacentral:lncRNA from 1 species